GAUGAACGCUGGCGGCAUGCCUAACACAUGCAAGUCGGACGGGAAGUGGUGGUUCUAGUGGCGGUCGGGUUAGUAACGCGUAAGAACCUGCCCCUGGGAGGGCCACAACAGCUGGAAACGGCAGCUAAUACACCGCAGGCCGAGUAGCAAAAGGUGGAAUCCGCCUGAGGGGGGACUCGCGUCUGAUUGGCUAGCUGGCGAGGCAAUAGCUUACCAAGGCGAUGGUCAGUAGAUGGUGCGAGAGGAUGACCGGCCACACUGGGACGGAGACACGGCGUAGGCUCCUACGGGAGGCAGGAGAGGGGAAUACUCCGCAAUGGGCGAUAGGCUGAGGGAGCAUUGCCGCGUGGAGGUAGAGGGACUAGGGAUCGUGAACUGCUUAUCCAGGAGAAGAAGCAAUGACGGUAUCUGGGGAAUAAGCAUCGGCUAACUCUGUG
rnacentral:rRNA from 1 species